GAUGAACGCUGGCGGCGUGCCUAAUACAUGCAGGUCGAGCGAACAGAUGAGGAGCUUGCUCCUCUGACGUUAGCGGCGGACGGGUGAGUAACACGUGGAUAACCUACCUAUAAGACUGGGAUAACUUCGGGAAACCGGAGCUAAUACCGGAUAAUAUAUUGAACCGCAUGGUUCAAUAGUGAAAGACGGUUUUGCUGUCACUUAUAGAUGGAUCCGCGCCGCAUUAGCUAGUUGGUAAGGUAACGGCUUACCAAGGCAACGAUGCGUAGCCGACCUGAGAGGGUGAUCGGCCACACUGGAACUGAGGCACGGUCCAGACUCCUACGGGAGGCAGCAGUAGGGAAUCUUCCGCAAUGGGCGAAAGCCUGACGGAGCAACGCCGCGUGAGUGAUGAAGGUCUUCGGAUCGUAAAACUCUGUUAUUAGGGAAGAACAAAUGUGUAAGUAACUAUGCACGUCUUGACGGUACCUAAUCAGAAAGCCACGGCUAACUACGUG
rnacentral:rRNA from 1 species